rnacentral:rRNA from 1 species
UGAAUACGAGACGCUACGGCGUCGAAGCAGUCUAUGUCAUACUUCCAAGAAAAGCUUGCACUGUCAUAAACAAAUAAUGCCUGUACCAUAACCGACACAGGUGGGUAGGUAGAGUAUACUAAGGGGCGCGAGAUAACUCUCUCUAAGGAACUCGGCAAAAUGACUCCGUAACUUCGGGAGAAGGAGUGCCUUAUUUAUAAGGUUGCAAUAACAAGUUCCAAGCAACUGUUUAUCAAAAACACAGGUCUCCGCUAAGUCGUAAGACGAUGUAUGGGGGCUGACGCCUGCCCAGUGCCAGAAGGUUAAAGAAGUUGGUUAGCAUUAGCGAAGCUGAUAACUGAAGCCCUGGUGAACGGCGGCCGUAACUAUAACGGUCCUAAGGUAGCGAAAUUCCUUGUCGGGUAAGUUCCGACCCGCACGAAAGGCGUAAUGAUUUGGAUACUGUCUCGGAGAGGGGCUCGGUGAAAUAGACUUGUCUGUGAAGAUGCGGACUACCUGCACCUGGACAGAAAGACCCUAUGAAGCUUUACUGUAACCUGAAAUUGAAAUUGGACUUUAUUUGCGCAGUAUAGGUGGGAGGCGUUGAGAAUAUUCUUGCGGGAAUAUUGGAGCCAUCAGUGAGAUACCACUCUUGUAAUGUUAGAUUUCUAACUUUGAAUCAUUAUCUGGUCAAAGAACAGUUUCAGGCGGGCAGUUUGACUGGGGCGGUCGCCUCCUAAAUGGUAACGGAGGCGCACAAAGGUUUCCUCUGAACGGGUAGAAAUCGUAUCUAGAGUGUAAAGGCAUAAGGAAGCUUGACUGUGAGACCUACAAGUCGAGCAGGGACGAAAGUCGGUCUUAGUGAUCUGACGGUGCUGAGUGGAAAGGCCGUCACUCAACGGAUAAAAGUUACUCUAGGAUAACAGGCUGAUCUCCCCCAAGAGUUCACAUCGACGGGGAGGUUUGGCACCUCGAUGUCGGCUCAUCGCAUCCUGGGGCGGUAGUACGUCCCAAGGGUUGGGCUGUUCGCCCAUGAAAGCGGUACGCGAGCUGGGUUCAGAACGUCGUGAGACAGUUCGGUCCAUAUCCGGUGUAGGCGUUAGAAUAUUGAGAGGAGCCUUCUUUAGUACGAGAGGACCGAGAAGGACAUACCUCUGGUGUACCAGUUAUCGUGCCAACGGUAAACGCUGGGUAGCUAUGUAUGGAGAGGAUAACCGCUGAAAGCAUCUAAGUGGGAAGCCCACCUCAAGAUAGUAUUCCC